rnacentral:misc_RNA from 1 species
AACGCAAAUGGCACUGUCACGUCAAGUGAUAGUAUGCCUGUUUGAGAACCACAAAAGCAAUCACCAUUAGUUAAUGGUGGAUCUGUCCAGGGAAGAAGAUAAAACUCUCUGGACCAAAUUGAUGCUGUGCAAGAGUAUAUGAGCACUAUGUGUGAUAGUUAUUCACAUGGAGCCAAUACAAUAAUCUGCCGGUCAGUAACUGUUGUUGUUGUGUGAUACUAUUGUGUGUGCACGUGCUUUGGUGUGUGUGUACACACAAUACAUUAUCAUCAUCAUCAUCAUCCUCAUAUAUAUAUGGUCUCAAAUCAGGCAAGGCUACCCGCUGAACUUAA